rnacentral:tRNA from 1 species
GGUAGGGUGGCCGAGGGUGAGGGCGGCGUGUUGUAGCCUCGUUUACGGGGGUUAGAGUCCCCAGACUACCA